rnacentral:tRNA from 1 species
GGGGAUUUAGCUCAGCGGUAGAGCACUUGCCUAGCAAGCACAAGGCCCUGGGUUCGGUCCCCAGCCCCG